rnacentral:rRNA from 1 species
GAUGAACGCUGGCGGCGUGCCCAAUACAUGCAAGUCGAGCGAACAGAUAAGGAGCUUGCUCCUUUGACGUUAGCGGCGGACGGGUGAGUAACACGUGGGUAACCUACCUAUAAGACUGGGAUAACUUCGGGAAACCGGAGCUAAUACCGGAUAAUAUUUCGAACCGCAUGGUUCGAUAGUGAAAGAUGGUUUUGCUAUCACUUAUAGAUGGACCCGCGCCGUAUUAGCUAGUUGGUAAGGUAACGGCUUACCAAGGCGACGAUACGUAGCCGACCUGAGAGGGUGAUCGGCCACACUGGAACUGAGACACGGUCCAGACUCCUACGGGAGGCAGCAGUAGGGAAUCUUCCGCAAUGGGCGAAAGCCUGACGGAGCAACGCCGCGUGAGUGAUGAAGGUCUUCGGAUCGUAAAACUCUGUUAUUAGGGAAGAACAUACGUGUAAGUAACUGUGCACGUCUUGACGGUACCUAAUCAGAAAGCCACGGCUAACUACGUG